UUCGCGUGAUUCAACAACAACCUUUCAUCUUGGGGGCUCGUCCGGGAUCCUUCAGGACAAGCUCGAGAAGAUCUAAAGGAUAAACUGCUGGGUCUGCGGAGCACUCCCCUCUUCGUCAAUAGAAGGCUUCCCGUGGUGGACAUCCCCACUUCAAGAAAAAGACUUUCUCCAAGUCUGUGAAUACCUUCGACAACAAACACAUGUGAUGCCUCUUCUUCAUCUGAUGACAACUACCAACCCUAAAAUGGACUGGUGCAACACUUUGUACUCUAACUAUGGGCAUAAUGUGACUUUUAACUUUGAUUAUACAUUGUCUAGGUUCAAUGACUAUUUUCUACAUAUAAGGUAAACCGGUCUAGAUCUAAUGGUUUUUUGCCUGACGUUUAUCAAAUAUGGGACGAGGUUACAUGGCUAACUCCUGAAAAAGGACGCUUAAUAUCUACUGCCUCUAUAUGCUGGGAACAAACAGAGCCGUCCCCAAAAGUUAGCCAACAACUUAAUUACAAUGAUUGGAAACAAUUGGGAUAUUUGUCUCAGGAAACAUGCAAUGUAAUCAUUCCCGU